AUGGGCAGCGGAGAGGGUCCCGUCUCGCCGCGGUCCACCUCCAGGCGCCACCGCCGGUCGUACGGCGACGGCGGGGACGAGGCCUCCUCCCCGAAGCGCCAGAAGCGUAGCCAUCACCACCGCCACCACGGCCACGGCCACGGGGACAGGGGAGACCAGCAGGCGGGCUCGCGGUCGCGGAUGUCGGCAGCGAAGCCGGGGGAGCGCGAGGUAGAGGAUGGUGAGAUAGUAGACGAUGCCGCCGCCGCCGCCUCCAGGGGGCCGGAUGCCGGCUUCGGCAAGGCGGGGUCGGUGUUCGGCGGUCUGGCACCUGCUCCGGGAUGUGAUGACAAAUUUGAUGCAAACAAGAAGUGUAGAGAGGCUAACCACAGAAAGAGAUCUGAGGAAAUCGAGGAACAAUCUUGCAAGGAGGAAGAUCAAAGUGAUUUCGAACACUUUGCAAAGCAAGAAGAAGAUGAUCUUAAAAAAACUAAGGAGGAAGCAAGAAAGAGGAUGGAUGCUAUUCUGGAGAAGCACCGGCAACGCCAGUUUCAGAAGGAACACCAGGGACCUGUGCCUUUCCAUGAUAGUACAGAAGUAACAUCACUGGAUAGAGAUGCUGCUACCACUGAAGUAAAAGAUGCCAAUUCAGUCACUGUAAUUGUUGAUGAAAAAUCCUACACUCUGGGGAUGACUCCUCCUAUCCAGCCUAACAUUUCAAUAAACUCGGGGAUAUCUGGUGAUCAAUGGACGGCAUGUGUUUCAGGUUUUCAAGAGGGCAUUCCUAAGGGUGAUAGAUCUUCAGAUAUACUUUGCGAUGAUAUUUUUGGAGCAUCUCCUAUUACAGUUCAGAAAUUGGGUAAUCUAGAUGGUAUGCAUGCCAGGAAAAAUUCACUUCGCGACAACUGGGAUGAUGAGCAUGGAUAUUACAAGUACCACUUAGGGGAAGUGCUAGAUGGUCAUUACAGAAUUACAGCAGGCUCUGGGAAGGGAGUUUUCUCAACAGUUGUCCAGGCAAAGGAUCUAAAAGCCAGGAAAAAUGAUCCUGAAGAAGUAGCUAUCAAAAUUAUCUGCAAUGAAAAAGAAAGGUACAAAUCUGGUAAGAGGGAGGUUUCUGUACUGGAAAAAUUGUCAAGUGCAGAUCGUGAAGACAAACGACACUGUGUCCGGUUUAUUUCUAGUUUCAUGUAUCGGGAUCAUCUCUGUUUAGUUCUUGAAUCCCUUCAUAUGAAUCUUCGUGAGGUUAUAAAGAAAUUUGGUCGUGAUAUAGGGCUGAAGCUUACUGCUGUAAGGACGUACUCAAAACAGCUUUUCAUUGCAUUGAAGCACCUAAAGGAUGGCAGUAUCCUCCAUUGUGAUAUUAAACCAGAUAAUAUACUGGUAAAUGGGUCUAGAAACUUGUUGAAACUGUGUGAUUUUGGUAGUGCUUUGCCUGCCGGAAUAAAUGAUAUCACACCAAUUCUUGUGAGCCGCUUCUACCGGGCACCUGAGAUAAUUCUUGGAUUGCCGUACGACCAUUCAUUGGAUAUGUGGUCAGUAGGCUGUUGCCUAUAUGAACUUUACACAGGAAAAAUCUUAUUUCCUGGUGGGAAGAACAAUGGCAUGCUUUGGCUUCACAUGGAAUUGAAGGGUCCAUUCCCUAAGAAGAUGCUUCGAAAGGGAGCCUUUACAACUCAACACUUUGACCAGGACCUUAAUUUCCAUGCCACUGAUGAGAAUCUGAUGAUGAAAAAGGCUGUGAACAAACUGUGUAUGAACGUUAAACCAAAGGGUGUUGGCGGAAAAAUAUCAAGCUUCGCAGGCGAGGAUCCGAAAAUGCUGUCCAGUUUUAAAGAUCUCCUGGAGAAAAUAUUUGUGCUAGAUCCGCAGAAGAGGCUUACUGUGUCACAAGCACUUAGCCACCCAUUUAUUACUGGCAAGUGA
rnacentral:rRNA from 1 species